GUGGGGAAUAUUGGACAAUGGGCGAAAGCCUGAUCCAGCCAUGCCGCGUGUGUGAAGAAGGUCUUCGGAUUGUAAAGCACUUUAAGUUGGGAGGAAGGGUAGUAACCUAAUACGUUGCUACUUUGACGUUACCGACAGAAUAAGCACCGGCUAACUUCGUGCCAGCAGCCGCGGUAAUACGAAGGGUGCAAGCGUUAAUCGGAAUUACUGGGCGUAAAGCGCGCGUAGGUGGUUCAGUAAGUUGGAAGUGAAAUCCCCGGGCUCAACCUGGGAACUGCUUUCAAAACUGCUGAGCUAGAGUACGGUAGAGGGUGGUGGAAGUUCCUGUGUAGCGGUGAAAUGAGUAGAUAUAGGAAGGAACACCAGUGGCGAAGGCGACCACCUGGACUGAUACUGACACUGAGGUGCGAAAGCGUGGGGAGCAAACAGGAUUAGAUACCCUUGUAGUCC
rnacentral:rRNA from 1 species